UUACUUUUCUUUAGAAAUGAAGUACAGCUGAGUAUGGUGGUGCAUCCCUGUAAUACCAGCACUUGGGAGGCUGAGGCAGGAGGAU
rnacentral:miRNA from 1 species